ensembl:snoRNA
GUUGGCUGAAAAUUAUCCCCGGCUCUGACUAUGGCCACAGAUGAGGUUUUGUGCUCAGAGGGACCAAACUAGGGGUCUCAGCUCAAUGCUCUACUGUCCUCGGUGUAGAGUGGUGAAACUCAGGCUCUUACAAGU